rnacentral:rRNA from 1 species
CGUAGCCCAAGAGAUCGGGAUAACACCUGGAAACAGAUGCUAAUACCGGAUAACAACAGAUGAUGCCUAUCAACUGUUUAAAAGAUGGUUCUGCUAUCACUCUUGGAUGGACCUGCGGUGCAUUAGCUAGUUGGUAGGGUAACGGCCUACCAAGGCGAUGAUGCAUAGCCGAGUUGAGAGACUGAUCGGCCACAUUGGGACUGAGACACGGCCCAAACUCCUACGGGAGGCAGCAGAC